rnacentral:rRNA from 1 species
GACGAACGCUGGCGGCGUGCCUAAUGCAUGCAAGUCGAGCGGGCUACAGUCUUCGGAUUGUAGCUUAGCGGCGAACGGGUGAGUAACACGUAGGUAAUCUACCCUUCAGAGGAGGACAACCUCAGGAAACUGAGGCUAAACCUUCAUACGUUCACUGGUAGGGAUACUGGUGAAGAAAGAGUUACCGUUGAGGUGGCUGCUGAAGGAUGAGCCUGCGGCCCAUCAGGUAGUUGGUGAGGUAACGGCUCACCAAGCCGAAGACGGGUAACCGGUCUGAGAGGAUGUCCGGUCACACUGGGACUGAGACACGGCCCAGACUCCUACGGGAGGCAGCAGCAGGGAAUCUUGGGCAAUGGGCGCAAGCCUGACCCAGCAACGCCGCGUGAAGGAAGAAGGCUUUCGGGUUGUAAACUUCUUUGACAGGGGACGAAACAAAUGACGGUACCCUGAAAACAAGACCACGGCUAACUAACGUGCCAGCAGCCGCGGUAAGAGUAACUCUAU